rnacentral:rRNA from 1 species
CGUUGUAACUUCUUUUAUAUGGGAAUAAAGUUGGCCACGUGUGGAUUUUUGUAUGUACCAUAUGAAUAAGGAUCGGCUAACUCCGUGCCAGCAGCCGCGGUAAUACGGAGGAUCCGAGCGUUAUCCGGAUUUAUUGGGUUUAAAGGGAGCGUAGGCGGAU